UACGUAGGGGACAAGCGUUGUCCGGAAUCAUUGGGCGUAAAGAGCGUGUAGGCGGCUCGAUAAGUCCGCUGUGAAAGUCCAGGGCUCAACCCUGGAAGGCCGGUGGAAACUGUCGGGCUAGAGUCCGGAAGAGGCGAGUGGAAUUCCCGGUGUAGCGGUGAAAUGCGCAGAUAUCGGGAGGAACACCAAUGGCGAAGGCAGCUCGCUGGGACGGUACUGACGCUGAGACGCGAAAGCGUGGGGAGCAAACAGG
rnacentral:rRNA from 1 species